rnacentral:rRNA from 1 species
UACGUAGGGUGCAAGCGUUAAUCGGAAUUACUGGGCGUAAAGCGCACGUAGGCGGAUGUGUCAGUCAGGGGUGAAAAUCCCGGAGCUCAACUUCGGAACUGCCUUUGAUACAGCACGUCUUGAGUCCGAUAGAGGUGGGUGGAAUUCCUAGUGUAGAGGUGAAAUUCGUAGAUAUUAGGAAGAACACCGGUGGCGAAGGCGGCCCACUGGGAUCGGUACUGGACGCUGAGGUGCGAAAGCGUGGGGAGCAAACAGG